GAUAACUGGCUUGUGGCAGUCAAGUGUUCAUAGCGAUGUUGCUUUUUGAUUCUUCGAUGUUGGCUUUUCCUAUGAUUAUGAAGCAAAAUUCACCAAGUAUUGGAUUGUUCGCCCACGAAUAGAGAACGUGAGCUGAAUUUAGACCAGCAUUUUGAUC
rnacentral:rRNA from 1 species